GUGGGGAAUUUUGGACAAUGGGCGCAAGCCUGAUCCAGCAAUGCCGCGUGCAGGAUGAAGGCCUUCGGGUUGUAAACUGCUUUUGUACGGAGCGAAAAGGCUUCCACUAAUACUGGGGGCUCAUGACGGUACCGUAAGAAUAAGCACCGGCUAACUACGUGCCAGCAGCCGCGGUAAUACGUAGGGUGCAAGCGUUAAUCGGAAUUACUGGGCGUAAAGCGUGCGCAGGCGGUUUUGUAAGACAGGCGUGAAAUCCCCGGGCUCAACCUGGGAAUGGCGCUUGUGACUGCAAAGCUGGAGUGCGGCAGAGGGGGAUGGAAUUCCGCGUGUAGCAGUGAAAUGCGUAGAUAUGCGGAGGAACACCGAUGGCGAAGGCAAUCCCCUGGGCCUGCACUGACGCUCAUGCACGAAAGCGUGGGGAGCAAACAGGAUUAGAAACCCGUGUAGUCC
rnacentral:rRNA from 1 species